UUUUAUGAGAGUUUGAUCCUGGCUCAGGACGAACGCUGGCGGCGUGCCUAAUACAUGCAAGUCGAACGCUUCUUUUUCCACCGGAGCUUGCUCCACCGGAAAAAGAGGAGUGGCGAACGGGUGAGUAACACGUGGGUAACCUGCCCAUCAGAAGGGGAUAACACUUGGAAACAGGUGCUAAUACCGUAUAACAAUCGAAACCGCAUGGUUUUGAUUUGAAAGGCGCUUUCGGGUGUCGCUGAUGGAUGGACCCGCGGUGCAUUAGCUAGUUGGUGAGGUAACGGCUCACCAAGGCCACGAUGCAUAGCCGACCUGAGAGGGUGAUCGGCCACAUUGGGACUGAGACACGGCCCAAACUCCUACGGGAGGCAGCAGUAGGGAAUCUUCGGCAAUGGACGAAAGUCUGACCGAGCAACGCCGCGUGAGUGAAGAAGGUUUUCGGAUCGUAAAACUCUGUUGUUAGAGAAGAACAAGGAUG
rnacentral:rRNA from 1 species